rnacentral:rRNA from 1 species
CGCUCUUCCGAUCUCUCAGAUUGAACGCUGGCGGCAUGCCUAACACAUGCAAGUCGAACGGAAACGAUGCUAGCUUGCUAGCAGGCGUCGAGUGGCGGACGGGUGAGUAAUGCAUAGGAAUCUACCUAAUAGUGGGGGACAACCUGGUGAAAACCAGGCUAAUACCGCAUAAUCCCUACGGGGCAAAGCAGGGGACCUUCGGGCCUUGCGCUAAUAGAUGAGCCUAUGUCGGAUUAGCUAGUUGGUGAGGUAAUGGCUCACCAAGGCGACGAUCCGUAGCUGGUUUGAGAGAAUGAUCAGCCACACUGGGACUGAGACACGGCCCAGACUCCUACGGGAGGCAGCAGUGGGGAAUAUUGCACAAUGGAGGAAACUCUGAUGCAGCAAUGCCGCGUGUGUGAAGAAGGCCUUAGGGUUGUAAAGCACUUUCAGUAGGGAGGAAAAGUAAGUAGUUAAUAACUGCUUACCCUGACGUUACCUACAGAAGAAGCACCGGCUAACUCCGUGCCAGCAGCCGCGGUAAUACGGAGGGUGCAAGCGUUAAUCGGAAUUACUGGGCGUAAAGCGCGCGUAGGCGGUUAAUUAAGUCAGAUGUGAAAGCCCCGGGCUCAACCUGGGAACUGCAUUUGAAACUGGUUAACUAGAGUAUGGUAGAGGAGAGUGGAAUUUCAGGUGUAGCGGUGAAAUGCGUAGAGAUCUGAAGGAACACCAGUGGCGAAGGCGACUCUCUGGACCAAUACUGACGCUGAGGUGCGAAAGCGUGGGUAGCAAACGGGAUUAGAUACCCCGGUAGUCCACGCCGUAAACGAUGUCAACUAACUGUUGGGCGGGUUACCGCUUAGUGGUGCAGCUAACGUAUUAAGUUGACCGCCUGGGGAGUACGGCCGCAAGGCUAAAACUCAAAUGAAUUGACGGGGGCCCGCACAAGCGGUGGAGCAUGUGGUUUAA